rnacentral:rRNA from 1 species
AGUGAACGCUGGCGGUAGGCCUAACACAUGCAAGUCGAACGGCAGCACAGGAGAGCUUGCUCUCUGGGUGGCGAGUGGCGGACGGGUGAGGAAUACAUCGGAAUCUACUCUGUCGUGGGGGAUAACGUAGGGAAACUUACGCUAAUACCGCAUACGACCUACGGGUGAAAGCAGGGGACCUUCGGGCCUUGCGCGAUUGAAUGAGCCGAUGUCGGAUUAGCUAGUUGGCGGGGUAAAGGCACACCAAGGCGACGAUCCGUAGCUGGUCUGGGAGGAUUAUCACCCACACUGGGACUGAGACACGUCCCAGACUCCUACGGGAGGCAGCAGUGGGGAAUAUUGGACAAUGGGCGCAAGCCUGAUCCAGCCAUACCGCGUGGGUGAAGAAGGCCUUCGGGUUGUAAAGCCCUUUUGUUGGGAAAGAAAUCCAGCUGGCUAAUACCCGGUUGGGAUGACGGUACCCAAAGAAUAAGCACCGGCUAACUUCGUGCCAGCCGCCGCCGUAA